AGAAAGCCCACAUGCAGCAACGAAGACUCACCACAGCCAAAAAACAAAUAAAUGAGAUUAUUAUUACUGAGACCUGAUGAAGGGCAAGCAUUGUGACCAGGCUUAGAUUCCAAAAUGGCUUCGGUCAAAAAAUUGCUUGUCUUAUGUUAAUUAAGUCCUGCCUAGUUCUUUUUCUCCUGAGACUACCUACCCAAUUUGCUUACAACUGGACUAACAAAAGAUCUUGGAAUAAAGAGAAGAGUAAUUGCUGGCAA